rnacentral:lncRNA from 1 species
GGCAACUUGUUCGGGUAUCCUUCCCCAGUGUGGAAGCUUUAGUUCUUUUGCUCUUUGCAAUGAAUCUUGCUGCUGCUCACUCUUUGGGUCCACGCUGCGUUUACACUGUGUUUAUGAGCUGUAACACUCACCACAAAGGUCUGCAGCUUCACUCCUGAAGCCAGCAAAGACCACGAACCCACCAGGAAGAAGGAACAACUCCAGACACGCAGCCUUAAGAGCUGUAACACUCACUGCCAAGGUCUUCAGCUUCACUCCUGAGCCAGCCAGACCAUGAACCCACCAGAAGGAAAAAACUCGGAACACAUCCCAACAUCAGAAGGAACAAACUCUGGACAUGCCGCCUUUAAGAACUGUAACAACGCAAGGGUCCGCGGCUUUAUUCUUGAAGUCAGUAAGACCAAGAACCCAAUUCCGGACACGUUUGGACCAUUACUUCACCAAAGUACAGUUCCUACAGGAAGAUAAUGAUCUGACCUAACCUACUAUUGGCUGAAGGUAUAGCAAAACCAACAGAUCAGGACACGACUGCCAUUGAAGAGAUAGUUUGUCAUACUCACAGAU